CUCAACCGUGUCACUUCAAAAGCCUAGAGUCGUGAGGGGCGACUCGCCUCUCUCCCCCUCUCCCUCUCUCCCCUUCCUAAAGUGGCCAUCCUCUGUUUUCGAUCGCCUCGACUCGUUACUUUACUGAGAAACCGGGUGGCUCUUUCCCUUGACUCGUUAUUGUAUUGACUGGUCAAUAAUUUGUCCUUUGUUCUCCGCACCGCGUCCUCCAAGAUACUUGCUCCUCUUCACGCACUCCUCUCUUGCUCGCCACUCUAUAUUUAGCAACCCUUUUCGUCCCCCAUACGUGCACACACUCAGUUGCAACUGGCUCCGAGUGUCCUUCUAGUGUCUUUAGCUUCCAAAUCAGAAGUUAGAGCAGUCAGAAUCUCAGUUCUUGAAACCCAAGAGAAAUGAAGAAGUUGGUGGUGAAAGUUGAACUACAUGAUGACAGAGACAGGAGAAAGGCCAUGCGAGUAGUUUCUAGUUUUGAAGGGAUUGGGUCUCUGUCUAUGGACUCGAAAGACAACAAACUGACGGUAUCCGGCGAUUUCGACCCUGUCAAGGUGGUGAACAAACUGAGGAAAUCUUGGCACACAGAAAUCGUGAGCGUUGGAGCAGGCAAGGAAGAUGAUGGCAAGAAAGACGAGGGAAAGAAAGAAGAGGGAAAGAAGGACGAUCAAGUCGCCAAUCUCGAAGCCUAUCAAACAUACUCUCCUAUACCGGUCACAUAUUACCAUGUGCCCUGCUAUGAAACCCCGAAUUGUGUCAUUUGUUGAAAUUGUUUAUGCUUCCUGACCAAUUCAGGACUUGGUUUGUGCACUGGAGAGGAUUGAAUAAGGUCGAUUAUGCCUUAUGAACACAAGAACAAGUGAAGUACCUUUUCUAGAAUAUUAGGUAUGGAAGAUCCACUAUGUACUCCAUUUUGGCAAACGAUUGUUUUCAGCGACUGGAAUAUGCAGAUGCAGUGGAUGUUUUAAAUCUUUUUUUGCUUGAUAUAUUGAACAAUCUGCAGGCAAAAACAGAUAUCGUUCAUUUCGAUCGCACUAUCAUCCUAUGUCCUUAGGCUGUGGCAGUGGUAGCGGUUAGCUGAUGAAACAUACCUGGUAUUUCUUUAGCAGCUUCCUGUCGUAAUUUUGCCUCACAAUCUUGUGAAAGGGUAUUCUGCUGGAUAAUAAAAUUCAUAAAAA